rnacentral:lncRNA from 1 species
CUUAUCCUUAGGAAUUGAGCACAUGCAGUGUGUUUAGGAAGUUGUACUCACACCCAUCUGAGACUUUCUUCCUUUUCUGGUGGAGUGCACCCUGAAGGUCAUACUUUGCCAUUUUGUCUCUUAGCGUGCAUGCCCAGGAAGUUUUUUCUCCCUGGCAUCUGGAUUCAAUUAACACUUUAAUGUUAAUAGCUGUGGAUCAUCAGGAAAUGGCCCCUCCAUGGCAUCCUGGGUAGGCUGCCAAAUUAUCAUUUUUAGAGAAGCAGUGUGAUAACUGUCAAACCAUCACCUGAUAAUUCUAGUGAGCAGGGGAGACCCCUCUCCUGGCCCGCUCAUGCCCAUCUUACUAUUUGUUAACAGAAAGGAUCCCACUUAUUUACUUUGCAGGUGGUUAUCCAGUUGCCUCGGAUCUAUCUGUGAAAAAGAUUAUUCUUUUCCCAAUUUAUGGUGUUCAGGAUGAAGAAGGAAGUCCCCAACUUCAACUGAAGUUCCCUGGACUUAUCCCAACCCACAAGCAGCUAGAAACUAUGCUAUUUCUGGAGCUGUUAGUCAUGACUAGCUCUGCAUUAAAAUUUGACUGAAGCUGCAUGUAUGUAUUAAAUCAUUCUUUUCAAUUAGGGCAUGAACAAGAUGAACUUUUCCUCACAAAUUGAUGUGGAUGAUCUGUCGCUGCAGGCUUCAUCUUCAACAUUGUCUUGUCCCUUCUUAGAAUGGAUUAUUCAUUUGUAUACUGCUAAUUUGGGAUAGAGGAGCAUUUUCCCCGUAAAGCAUUUCAUAAAGUAUCAAUGAUUUUACCAUUUCUUCCACCCAACUACACCAUAAUUUGAUAUUUGUUCUUGGUCAAUUUUAGCAGAAUUCAUGUUGCUCUGACAAGGGCUUUUGUCAAACUGAUGUCUUACCCAUCUUAGUGACUCAGACUAGAUCUUGUUUAUACAUGUUUUAACAAGGUGUAUGACUUUAUUUUGGUGCAAAAUCUUUUUGAAAUCCAUGAAUAGUUUUUGUAUAAUAUGCAUUUUUAUGAUAUCUUUGAAAACCCUCGUGUGUGUGUGUUUGUGUCUAUGGCAUGCCCUAUAUAUGUGGAAGGAUAAAUCUGUAAAUGCAUGCACUAAUAUGGACUACAGAUGUGAACUAUAUCUCCAUGUACAUAUGUAUCUCUAUAUACAUGUGCAUUUAUGGAUGAAAUAUUUAUUGCCUACUGUGUGUUAAGUGACUGUGCUCUUAGCUAUGCAAAUGAUUUCAACUGAUGUUUUUUCCCUAUCCCAUCUAUUUACUAUCCUCUAACUUGUUCCAAAAAAUAGGAUACAGGAUAAAUAACUGAAAUUGUUUUUUGAAUGAGAUUGCAGUCGAUAUAUGAUUUAGAGGACCAAGCAGGCAAAGAAUUUGUAUAUUCAAUCAAUGCCUCUUAGUUGGUGAUAGUUGUUUUUUUU